UAUAUGGCUUGAUAUAGUAGUCUUUGUGUACUCUGAAAUGCAGGUCCAGUAUAUGGCUUGAUAUAGUAGUCUUUGUGUACUCUGAAAUACAGGUCCAGUAUAUGGCUUGAUAUAGUAGUCUUUGUGUACUCUGAAAUACAUGUCCAGUAUAUGGCUUGAUAUAGUAGUCUUUGUGAGCUCUGAAAUACAGGUCCAGUAUAUGGCUUGAUAUAGUAGUCUUUGUGAGCUCUGAAAUACAGGUCCAGUAUAUGGCUUGAUAUAGUAGUCUUUGUGUACUCUGAAAUACAGGUCCAGUAUAUGGCUUGAUAUAGUAGUCUUUGUGAACUCUGAAAUACAUGUCCAGUAUAUGGCUUGAUAUAGUAGUCUUUGUGAGCUCUGAAAUACAGGUCCAGUAUACAGCUCGAUAUAGUAGUCUUUGUGAACUCUGAAAUACAUGUCCAGUAUACAGCUUCAUAAAGAAGUCUUUGUGAACUCUGAAAAACAGGUCCAGUAUAUGGCUUGAUAUAGUAGUCUUUGUGUACUCUGAAAUACAGGUCCAGUAUACAGCUCGAUAUUGUAGUCUUUGUGAGCACAGAAAUACAGGUCUGGUAUAGGGCUUGAUAUAGAAGUCUUUGGGAACUCUAAAAUACAGGUCCAGUAUAUGGCUUGAUAUAGUACUCUUUGUGAGCACAGAAAUACAGGUCUGGUAUAGGGCUUGAUAUAGAAGUCUUUGGGAACUCUGAAAUACAGGUCCAGUAUAUGGCUUGAUAUAGUAGUCUUUGUGUACUCUGAAAUACAGGUCCAGUAUAUGGCUUGAUAUAGUAGUCUUUGUGUACUCUGAAAUACAGGUCCAGUAUAUGGCUUGAUAUAGUAGUCUUUGUGUACUCUGAAAUACAGGUCCAGUAUAUGGCUUGAUAUAGUAGUCUUUGUGUACUCUGAAAUACAGGUCCAGUAUAUGGCUUGAUAUAGUAGUCUUUGUGUACUCUGAAAUACAGGUCCAGUAUAUGGCUUGAUAUAGUAGUCUUUGUGUACUCUGAAAUACAGGUCCAGUAUAUGGCUUGAUAUAGUAGUCUUUGUGUACUCUGAAAUACAGGUCCAGUAUAUGGCUUGAUAUAGUAGUCUUUGUGAGCUCUGAAAUACAGGUCCAGUAUAUGGCUUGAUAUAGUAGUCUUUGUGAACUCUGAAAUACAUGUCCAGUAUAUGGCUUGAUAUAGUAGUCUUUGUGUACUCUGAAAUACAGGUCCAGUAUAUGGCUUGAUAUAGUAGUCUUUGUGUACUCUGAAAUACAGGUCCAGUAUAUGGCUUGAUAUAGUAGUCUUUGUGUACUCUGAAAUACAGGUCCAGUAUAUGGCUUGAUAUAGUAGUCUUUGUGUACUCUGAAAUACAGGUCCAGUAUAUGGCUUGAUAUAGUAGUCUUUGUGUACUCUGAAAUACAGGUCCAGUAUAUGGCUUGAUAUAGUAGUCUUUGUGAACUCUGAAAUACAUGUCCAGUUUACAGCUUGAUAUAGUUGUCUAAAAUGCUUGUAGAAAAAUCUUGCAAUCCUUUUUAAAGUAGAUAUUUGGACAUUAGAUAUACAGAUCCUGUGGUCUUGUAUGGCUUGAUAUAGUAGUCUUUGUCAUUUGUGAAAUAUUUUAGGUAGUCUUUUAUUAUAAUUUACAAGUUUUAUAUCUACAGCUCAGGAUAGAUAGUUCACAAAAAAGACUUGUUUGAUAGAUUAAUCUGAGUUACUUCUUACGGUGUGUAUUACUAAUGUUUACAGGUUUAUAUGUAAAGAAGAGUGGGAGGUUAUUUUACAGAACAUUGUAUAAAAUGUGUAUUUUUAGACAUUUUCAGAUUCCAGACAUCUUACUCAAACAUAUAAUUCCAAUGUUCAACUGCAGGAAAGUAUGGAAACAAGUACGUUUAAGAAGUCAAUUGACAUGACGCCUUAUCUAAGAUCGCUCCGCCCACUUAAUCAUGUGGCUCAGCGGGUAGCAAACCUAGACAAGCUAACACCAAAAUGGCUUCAUUGCCUAUAUACUGCAUGUAGAUUAACGCGAUAUUCCGGAUUAUUUUUAUGGACUUUUUGACACCAUAUGACACUUGUAUAAGGGGUUUGUGUCAUUUAGUUUUUCUGCGAUUGCAAAAAAUAUACGUUUAUAGAGAACAUCAGCUAAUUUUAACGGGUUUUUCGGUACAUGAAUAACGCUCUCAAACGCUUGCGCGCUGACCGAAAUCGAACCUGUUAUUACGUGUGAUGUUGGUAUUAGCAAUAAAUUAACACUUCUUCAACGGCAUUUACCCAUGUUAUUUACGAAACAUUUCCACUCGUGUAUUUGACACGAAAUAGCGCUUUAAACUGGGAUUUUGGUGAAAUUUUACACGCUUUCUGACACCGAGUGUACCAAAAUCCCACAUGUUAUUACGUAUAAAAGUGAUAUUAAUAAUAUUUAACAUUGCUUAUGGGACAUUUAUCAAUCACUAUAAUUGAAAGUGUAAGACAGCACAAUAAGUUUGGUCAUUGUCAUAUAUAAAGUAGCGCUGUAUGAAGGGGAACUCAGUAAAGCUACCUGUAUCGGACGCUGGCGCAGGUACCGACUUCUCCCAAGUUCUGCAUUUAUUGGUUAUAUCAGUAAUAAUAAAUCUUAUUAUGUGGCAUUUAUCGAUUCGAUUCUAUGAAAGUAGAAACAUAUAAUCGUUUUCACUUGUUUCUGACACACACAAAACUCGAUUUAUAACGGGGAUUUCGUUAAGUUACGCAAAGUUGGUACCAAUCUUCUCUAUUAUUCUACAAGCACAAGUGAUAUAAUUCAUACUUAAUAAUGCGUAGUUAUUUCUAACAUAACAUUUCCAGUUUUUUAAAUAAAUAAAUGCUCCAUAAGGGUGAUCUAGGUAAUUCUGCACAUUGAAGCUUCCACUUGCUCUUGUC